rnacentral:rRNA from 1 species
UGCUUGCACUCAAUUGGAAAGAGGAGUGGCGGACGGGUGAGUAACACGUGGGUAACCUACCCAUCAGAGGGGGAUAACACUUGGAAACAGGUGCUAAUACCGCAUAACAGUUUAUGCCGCAUGGCAUAAGAGUGAAAGGCGCUUUCGGGUGUCGCCGAUGGAUGGACCCGCGGUGCAUUAGCUAGUUGGUGAGGUAACGGCUCACCAAGGCCACGAUGCAUAGCCGACCUGAGAGGGUGAUCGGCCACACUGGGACUGAGACACGGCCCAGACUCCUACGGGAGGCAGCAGUAGGGAAUCUUCGGCAAUGGACGAAAGUCUGACCGAGCAACGCCGCGUGAGUGAAGAAGGUUUUCGGAUCGUAAAACUCUGUUGUUAGAGAAGAACAAGGACGUUAAUAACUGAACGUCCCCUGACGGUAUCUAACCAGAAAGCCACGGCUAACUACGUGCCAGCAGCCGCGGUAAUACGUAGGUGGCAAGCGUUGUCCGGAUUUAUUGGGCGUAAAGCGAGCGCAGGCGGUUUCUUAAGUCUGAUGUGAAAGCCCCCGGCUCAACCGGGGAGGGUCAUUGGAAACUGGGAGACUUGAGUGCAGAAGAGGAGAGUGGAAUUCCAUGUGUAGCGGUGAAAUGCGUAGAUAUAUGGAGGAACACCAGUGGCGAAGGCGGCUCUCUGGUCUGUAACUGACGCUGAGGCUCGAAAGCGUAGGGAGCAAACAGGAUUAGAUACCCUGGUAGUCCACGCCGUAAACGAUGAGUGCUAAGUGUUGGAGGGUUUCCGCCCUUCAGUGCUGCAGCAAACGCAUUAAGCACUCCGCCUGGGGAGUACGACCGCAAGGUGA